rnacentral:rRNA from 1 species
AUACGGAGGGUGCAAGCGUUAAUCGGGAUUACUGGGCGUAAAGCGUACGCAGGCGGUCCGUUAAGUUAGAUGUGAAAGCCCCGGGCUUAACCUGGGAACUGCAUUUAAAACUGGCGGACUAGAGUUGAGUAGAGGGGAGUGGAAUUUCAGGUGUAGCGGUGAAAUGCGUAGAGAUCUGAAGGAACACCAGUGGCGAAGGCGACUCCCUGGACUCGAACUGACGCUGAGGUACGAAAGCGUGGGUAGCAAACGGGAUUAGAAACCCCGGUAGUCC